rnacentral:rRNA from 1 species
CCUACGGGUGGCAGCAGUGGGGAAUAUUGCUCAAUGGGCGAAACCCUGAUCCAGCGACGUCGCGUGAGUGAAGAAGUAUCUAGGUAUGUAAAGCUCUAUCAGCAGGGAAGAAAAGGACGGUACCUGAUUAAGAAGCCCCGGCUAACUACGUGCCAGCAGCCGCGGUAAUACGUAGGGGGCAAGCGUUAUCCGGAUUUACUGGGUGUAAAGGGAGCGUAGACGGCAGCACAAGUCUGGAGUGAAAUUCCGGGGCUUAACCCCGGAACUGCUUUUGAAACUGUGCAGCUAGAGUGCAGGAGAGGUAAGUGGAAUUCGUAGUGUAGCGGUGAAAUGCGUAGAUAUUAGGCAGAACACCAGUUGCGAAGGCGGCUUACUGGACUGUAACUGACGUUGAGGCUCGAAAGCGUGGGGAGCAAACAGGAUUAGAUACCCGUGUAGUC